UACCUAAGGCUUAAACUAUUAGAGGAAAGACUUGGCUUGAAUGUUGAAGAAGGCCGUGGCCAGCUGCGAUAUGUCUGGGGUAGGCGCAUGCAGCCUGUGAUCCCAGAAUUGCCGAAUAGGACUUCCAUUCUUUUAUAAGAAGAUCAGUAAUGAUCGAUAACGCGGGGGAUUGAAGCGUCUUAGUACCCGCAGGAAAAGAAAUCAAUUGAGAUGCCGCUAGUAACAGCGAGCGAACGUGGCAUAAGGCAAACCGAAUCCUUUGUAGCAAUACAAAGGACAUGUGGUGUUAUAGGACUUUCUUUUAAUCCUUUUUGAUGAGUUGAAGUGUUCUGGAAAGAACUACUAUAGAGGGUGAUAGUCCCGUAAACGAAAUCUUUGAGGAUGUGAAAGUAUCCUGAGUAGGGCUCAUUGGAUAUUGAGUCUGAAUUUAGGAGGCAUCAACUUCUAACCUUAAAUACUAUUCAAGACCGAUAGCGUACUAGUACCGCGAGGGAAAGUUGAAAAGAACCCUUAAUAGGGAGUGAAAAGAAUCUGAAAUCUAAUAGUGAUAGUGUGAUGCUGCUCUUCGGAGUUGCAUCGUACGUUUCGAAUAACGGACCAGGGAGUGUACUUGAGUGGCAAGACUAACUUUUUAAAAAAGGAAGUCGGAGCGAAAGCGAAAACCCGCAGGCAACGAGGGGUGUGGUGUUAAUGCGCCAUUAGUCACUUGGGUACGACCCGAAACCGGACGAACUAGUCCUGAGCAAGGUGAAGCAGGGAUAAAACCUUGUGGAGGCCUGCAGAGGUGCUGUGGACAAGCGUUCUUCUGACUUGGGACUAGGGGUGAAAAGCCAAUCGAGUCCGGUGAUAGCUGGUUCCUGCCGAAAUAUGUCGUAGCAUAGUCUCAACUGAGAUUACUAAGAUGGUAGAGCUACGGACUGGGAGUUUUGGGGAGUAAAAUCCUCGGCUUCCUAUCCAACUCCAAAUGUUUUAGAAUCGUAGACGUUGGGAAACAGCGGCACGCGGUAAACGUGUGUCGCUAAAGGGGAACAACCCAGCCUGAAGUUAAGGUCCCAAAAUACUAAUUAAGUGUGAAAGGGUGAAUGGUGUAUAACAUCAGAGACAGCGGGGAGGUAGGCUCAGAAGCAGCCAUCCUUUAAAGAAAGCGUAAUAGCUCACCUGUCAAGAUCUUGUGCCCAGAAAAUGGACGGGGCUAAAUUAGUUACCGAUACUUCAGACAUCCGCAAGGAUUGUGGUAGGCAGGCGUCCUGCUUGAGCAAAACUUUUCUCGUAAGAGGAAAGGAAUCGAGUAGGAAUGAAAAUCCUGGUGGUAGUAGGACCAGUAUACAGUGAGAAUCUGUAUUACCGAAAGGGCAAGGGUUUCUUAGCAAUACAGUUUAGCUAAGAGUAAGUUGAUCCUAAGGCAAUUCCUAACUGGACAUUGUCGAAAGGGAAAACGGUUAACAUUCCGUUACUAUUUAAAUACAUAUGGCAACAUUAGUUUUAUUCUUGACGGUUUGGGCUAGAUUAACAACUCUCGUCGGAGUUGCUAACUAAAAUAAGUCUGGGGAGUAUCGUAACGAUGAGAUCCAGAUUAAAUUUAGGAAUGGUCUGUCUUAAGACAGAUUUAGUCAAUGCCUAGAUCCCGUGAAAAAAGAAUAGAUCGGAUUUUAAAUAAUCAUACCCAGAACCAGCACAGGUGCCCCAAGGUUAGUAGCCUAAGGUAUGAGGGAGUAAUCCAACUAAGGGAAUUCGGCAAAUUAGUCCCGUGACUUUGGUAUAAGGGAUCCCUGCGUUUGUAUCCGUAUGGAUGCGAAUACAGGGCGCAGUGACUAAGGAGGCCCGACUGUUUAACAAAAACGUAACUUUUCGCUAGCCUCAAAAGGUGUGUAUGGAAAGUGACGUCUGCCCAGUGCCCGUACUUGAAACUCGGUUUCAACUGAGCUAAGAGCGGGUAAACGGCGGGAAUAACUAUAAUUCUCUUAAGGUAAGCAAUAGUUGCCUUAGUAAAAUUUGGCUAUAUGCUGGAAAGUCUGAGUAUUCCAUGCUACUCGAUUUACAUUGUGACAAGUUCACGCAAAGAAUUUAUAAACAAUGUAAGUCAGUAACAAGGUAUGGAUGCAGAUAAUCAGCAGGAAAGACUAGAGGCUCAAUGGAUUGUUGGAUUUGUCGACGGUGAAGGAAGUUUUCUGAUUUCAAUAAAUAAGAAUGAGAAAAUGACUUUGGGUUGGCAAGUUUUACCAGAAUUCAGGGUAGUUCAACAUCAAAAUGAUGAACAAAUUUUAUAUAAAAUCAAAGAUUAUUUUGGUUUUGGGAAUGUUGUUGUGAAUCAUGGAGAUAGAAAAGAGUUCAGAGUUAGAGGUUCUGAAAAUAUUAAAAAAAUUAUUUUGUUUUUUAAGAAAAAUAAUUUAAGAACUUCAAAAAAUAAAAACUUUGAAAUUUUUUGUAAUGUUGUUGGACGGAUGGAAGAUGGACAACAUUUAGACAAACAAGGUUUGUUAGAAAUAGCAAGUUUGGCAUCCAAUAUUAAUAAUAAAAUAGAUAGAGUUUCUAGAAUCCUCAGAGACUAUACGCCAAACACACAUUAAGUGUGAAGAUAUAGUCCGAUCCUUGCAGCGAUGUAAGGAGAUUAACAGAAAUGUUAAUCCGCCAUCUUUGAUGGUUAGUAACCAUUUUGGUGAAAGUAACAGAUAUGAGCGUAAUGCCUUGUCGUUUUAUUGACGACGUGCAUGAAUGGCGUAACGAGGUCUCUACUGUCCCUAGUUGGAAUCCCCCGAACACAUUAUCCUGGUGCAAAGACCAGGGACCUCCAGUGGGAAGCAAAGACCCCGUAGAACUUUACUACAGUUUGUUGUUGUGAUGUGAGUUUUGUUGUGCAGUAUAGGUGGGAGUUGUUAUGUUUCAAGCGCUAGUUUGGAAAUAGACAUCAGUGAGAUACCACCCUUCAGAGUUUACAUUGCUCACCUUGGAAACAAGGGACAUCAGUAAAUGGGUAGUUUGCCUGGGGCGGGACCCUGCUGAAACGAUAUCAGCAGGGCCCAAAGGUUGACUCAACCGGGUCAGAAAUCCGGUGUAGAGUGCAAGAGCAAAAGUCAGCCUGACUGUGUUUCGAACCAUAAGAAACGCAGAGCAGAAAUGCCGGUCUAGCGAACCCCUAUGUCCUCUUUGAUGGGGGCUAGGUAUGACAGAAAAGCUAUCUCGGGGAUAACUGAGUGGUAGCGCCUAAGAGCUCAAAUCGACGGCGCUGUUUGCUACUUCGAUGUCGGCUCGUCGCAACCUGGGCGUGCAGAAGCGCCCAAGGGUGGGGGUGUUCACCCAUUAAAGCGGCUCGUGAGCUGGGUUCAGAACGCUGUGAAGCAGUUUGUUCGAUAUCUAGUGGAGGUGUUCGGUGUCUGAGAGGAAGGAUCUUUUAGUACGAGAGGAACGGAGGUUCGGGGCCUCUAGUCAACCGGUUAUCUGAUAAGGUAGGCCGGGCAGCCACGCCCCAAGGGAUAAGAGCUGAAAGCAUCUAAGCUCGAAACCCCCCUCGAAAAGAGACACUUCAAGUUCUUGUAGAAGACAAGGUUGAUAGAAACGGCGUGUAAGCAUUAAGGCAACGAGAUGUUCAGCGUGCGUUCACUAAUUACUUGACAACUUUAGGUA
rnacentral:rRNA from 1 species